rnacentral:rRNA from 1 species
GAUGAACGCUGGCGGCGUGCCUAAUACAUGCGAGUCGAGCGAACAGAUGAGGAGCUUGCUCCUCUGACGUUAGCGGCGGACGGGUGAGUAACACGUGGAUAACCUACCUAUAAGACUGGGAUAACUUCGGGAAACCGGAGCUAAUACCGGAUAAUAUAUUGAACCGCAUGGUUCAAUAGUGAAAGACGGUUUUGCUGUCACUUAUAGAUGGAUCCGCGCCGCAUUAGCUAGUUGGUAAGGUAACGGCUUACCAAGGCAACGAUGCGUAGCCGACCUGAGAGGGUGAUCGGCCACACUGGAACUGGGACACGGUCCAGACUCCUACGGGAGGCAGCAGUAGGGAAUCUUCCGCAAUGGGCGAAAGCCUGACGGAGCAACGCCGCGUGAGUGAUGAAGGUCUUCGGAUCGUAAAACUCUGUUAUUAGGGAAGAACAAAUGUGUAAGUAACUAUGCACGUCUUGACGGUCCCUAAUCAGAAAGCCACGGCUAACUACGUG